AUCCUUUUGUGUUUUAUAAAUGUGAUGAUUGGGUUCUCACAUGUGAGUUGUGUGAGAUGCUUCCUUCAAACCCUGUUACAACAUCCACACAUACCGUGUCUGUCA
ensembl:snoRNA